UCUGGCUCGCCUGGGCUCAGCGGCCGCGGGGCCGCAGCUCCCGAUGGAAAUUAUAUUACAUAGACUAUUUGGGUGACAUAUGCCCGAAAGAUCUCCCAAGAAUUACAGAAGACAAAAAUACUAAUGCAUUUGAGAAAGCGGUAGUUUUGGGGGGAGGGGGAAAAAGCAACUGCUUUCCUCAUCUGCAAGUUGGCUGGAUCCUAAGAUGUCUGUGGACAUGAAUAGCCAAGGGUCUGAUAGCAAUGAAGAGGACUAUGACCCAAAUUGUGAGGAAGAGGAAGAAGAGGACGAAGACCCUGGGGACAUAGAGGACUAUUACGUGGGAGUGGCCUUUGGGGUCAACCCCCCUGGGAACACCAGGGGGCUGAUGCCUUUGAUCCCGAGGAGUACCAGUUCACUUGCUUGACCUACAAGGAAUCUGAGGGUGCCCUCAAUGAGCACAUGACCAGCUUAGCCUCUGUUCUAAAGGUAUCUCAUUCAGUUCCUAAACUUAUAUUAGUUAAUUUCCACUGGCAAGUUUCAGAGAUAUUGGACAGAUACAAGUCCAAUUCUGCUCAACUGUUCAUUGAGACUCGAGUUCAGCCUAAUCCAUCAAAACAAGUUUCCAUAUCCCAUCCCCCUCACCACUGUGCAGUGUGUAUGCAGCUUGUGCGAAAGGAAAACCUACUCUCUCUGGCCUGUCAGCACCAGUGUUGCCGAAGUUGCUGGGAACAGCACUGCUCAGUUCUUGUCAAGGAGGGCGUGGGCAUGGGAGUCUCUUGUAUGGCUCAGGACUGUCUGCUCUAUACACCAGAGGACUUUGUGUUUCCAUUGCUUCCCAAUGAAGAAUUGAGAGAGGAAUAGAGGUGCUACCUCUUCAGGGACUAUGUGGAGAGCCAUUACCAGCUCGAGCUGUGCCCUGGUGCGGACUGCCCCCUGGUUAUUCUGGUACAGGAGCCUAGAGCUCGCCAAGUACAGUGCAAUCGGUGCAAUGAAGUCUUCUGUUUCAAGUGUCGUCAGAUGUAUCAUGCACCCACAGACUGCGCCACUAUCCAGAAAUGGCUCACAAAGUGUGCAGACGACUCUGGCUCACACUAAAGACUGUCCCAAGUGCAACAUCUGCAUUGAGAAGAAUGGAGGCUGCAAUCAUAUGCAAUGCUCCAAAUGUAAACACGACUUCUGCUGGCUGUGUCUAGGAGAUUGGAAGACUCAUGGCAGUGAAUACUAUGAAUGCAGUCAUUACAAGGAGAAUCCUGACAUUGUGAACCAGAGCCAACAAGCCCAGGCAAGGGAAGCCCUCAGGAAGUACUUAUUCUACUUUGAGAGUUGGGAAAACCACAACAAAAGCUUGCAGCUAGAGGCACAGACAUACCAGCGGAUUCACGAGAAGAUUCAGGAGAGGGUCCUGAACAAUCUGGGAACAUGGAUCGACUGGCAGUACCUACAGAAUGCUGCCAAGCUCUUGGCCAAGUGUCGAUACACCCUGCAAUACAUCUACCCAUAUACAUAUUACAUGUAGUCUGGACCCAGGAAGAAGCUGUUUGAAUAUCAACAGGCUCAGCUGGAGGCUGAGAUUGAAAACCUCUCAUGGUAAGUGGAGUGUGCUAUGACAGAGGGGACUUGGAGAACCAGAUGCAUAUAGCGGAGCAGCGGAGGAGAACCCUGCUGAAGGAUUUCCAUGACACCUAAGUUGGGAUGUGGAUGUGCUGGGGUGAGGAAGCUGCAAGGUCUCCCAGCUGCUGUACUGCAUGCCGCAGGCUCUGCAUUUCAUGACCCCAGGCGACAGCCAGGUCUCCACUCCUGAGAGACACUGGCAACAACUCUUAGUUUAUUUCUGUUUUUUUCUCUUUUCACUGUUUGUUUCUACUAGGGUAGAGGCCAUGUUGAACUGGCCUCUUUUCAGGACUUUUAUUUCCCCCUGGAUGGUUGUUGGGAGAGAGGGAAAGUGUUUUCUGAAUGGCUAUUAUUAGUAUUAGAUCAUUACAACUUUCAAAGGUUGUACAAUUAUACAAAGGAAAAAGAAGGCGAACUAUAGGAUAACACGGAGCCCUUUUUGAAAAUAAACUGGCGUUGGAGUGUU